UGAGUGAAAAGGUGGAGAGCGAUAUGAAAUGCAUUGAAAUGCCUUCUCAAAAUAAGUUUAAUAAAAAAGUUGGAAUUAUGUAUUUUUUAUUUUGCAUUUACUUUAACACAGUACAAAAAUGCAUCACGGAGUUUUGCUACUAAAAUAAAGCAUUACAAUGGAGGGUAGAAGUAUCCCUACAAUAUUUGAAAAGAGUUUCAUAUUUGAUUUGGAAUUUUUUAUCAAAAAAAUUCAAAAAAUCAAGCUCCCCCGUCCUCCUUAGGUAAUAUAAUCCUUUGAACGCCUCUGGAGUUUCACAUUUGUUGAAAAGUUAUAAAUACAAGUCCGUAUUAAACUGAGGAUCGACAAUAGGCCACCUUCUUUUAAAGUCCUUCUUAAAUAGGGGUUGAUAUUUGAUUUAUUUCGAUUAUGUUCUAGCUGCUCGCAGCUUAUCUGAUGAAAUGUCAUGAAAACUAAGCUGCUCUCCAACAUAAACAUUCUUCAAAAGCUUACAAUGUUAACUUUCGGUUUCUUUUUUUAGCAAACCGGCGUGUCAUAUUGUCAUAUAUUCUAGAACUCUUGUUAUAAAUAGAGAUGAAAUAACUUUUAAAAAAUGUCAUUGAUAAUUUUUAUUAUGCACAAUUUUUUGUAAAUUUUUCGGAAUAUACAUUUUUUUUUACUACUCACAAGUAUAAAAGACAGUACUUAAUUAUAAAUGAUAGUUAAGUUUUCUUAUUGUUUAUAAGUUGAGGAAUGACAUGAGAGGAAUAUCAUAAAGAAUCAGUGCCUUAGAAUAUGAGAGUCUGGACAUUCAACAGCUGAAACGUUAGCUGAUUCAAGUAAAAUAUCUUUAAAACCUUAGUUUAAAAGAAUAGAAGUCAUUGCUUAUUAAUUAUAAUAACUUUUCUGUUUAAAAGUGUCUCAUUUUGCUAUUUUUGGAUGCUGGAAAAAGUAUUUUCCACGCACAAAUAUAUCCGUUUUUUGUUUUCCAAAAGAUUUACACCAAA
rnacentral:misc_RNA from 1 species